rnacentral:rRNA from 1 species
CCUACGGGUGGCAGCAGUGGGGAAUAUUGGACAAUGGGCGAAAGCCUGAUCCAGCCAUGCCGCGUGUGUGAAGAAGGCCUUCGGGUUGUAAAGCACUUUCAGUGGGGAAGAAAGCCUUGGGGCUAAUACCCUCGAGGAAGGACAUCACCCACAGAAGAAGCACCGGCUAACUCCGUGCCAGUAGCCGCGGUAAUACGGAGGGUGCGAGCGUUAAUCGGAAUUACUGGGCGUAAAGCGCGCGUAGGCGGUCUGAUAAGCCGGUUGUGAAAGCCCCGGGCGCAACCUGGGAACGGCAUCCGGAACUGUCAGGCUAGAGUGCAGGAGAGGAAGGUAGAAUUCCCGGUGUAGCGGUGAAAUGCGUAGAGAUCGGGAGGAAUACCAGUGGCGAAGGCGGCCUUCUGGACUGACACUGACGCUGAGGUGCGAAAGCGUGGGUAGCAAACAGGAUUAGAUACCCUAGUAGUC